rnacentral:rRNA from 1 species
AUUGAACGCUGGCGGCAUGCCUUACACAUGCAAGUCGAACGGCAGCACGGGUGCUUGCACCUGGUGGCGAGUGGCGAACGGGUGAGUAAUACAUCGGAACAUGUCCUGUAGUGGGGGAUAGCCCUGCGAAAGCCGGAUUAACACCGCAUACGAUCUACGGAUGAAAGCGGGGGACCUUCGGGCCUCGCGCUAUAGGGUUGGCCGAUGGCUGAUUAGCUAGUUGGUGGGGUAAAGGCCUACCAAGGCGACGAUCAGUAGCUGUGCUGAGAGGAGGACAAGCCACAGGGGGAUGGGACAAGGGCCCGACCCCUUAGGGAGGGCAGAGGUGGGGAAUUUUGGACAUUGGGGGAAGCCCUGACCCAGCAAGGCCGGGUGGGUAAAGAAGGCCUUCGGGUGGUAAAGCACUUUUGUCGGGAAGAAAUCCUUGGCCCUAAUACGGUCGGGGGAUGACGGUACCGGAAGAAUAAGCACCGGCUAACUACGUG